ACUACCAUCCUCCUCCAUUUAACAAUUUAUAUACUUGUCUGACGAAGAAUAAGAAGAGUAUACAAGGGACAGGAUCAGGCUUACAGAGAAGGUGAAAACAAGAUAUAUAUAUAUAUAUAUAUAUAUAUAUAUGUGUGUGUGCAGCAGCACAGGGCAGCAGCAGACGAAGCAGUACGGAUAGUUUUAGUCCCUGCAAAUUAAGAGUCAUCAAUGCGUUUCUACCAUCCAUCACAAGCCCUUCUAAAUGCUAAAUCCGCAUAGAACAAAUACAAUUAAGGUAUCCAGAAUGAAGUUGCAGCACUCAGUACUAUACCAGGAGGUCUGCCUGGGUCAUCCAUACUCUUUCGAGUCAUAACGCGAACAUCAUCAGCCCCACUCCCAGACAAAGUUGUCCAUGUGUGUGCGGUUGAAGCUCCAACACCGCUGCAAAAGCUCAGAACCAUUCUCUCAGCCAGCUUCAACAUACUCUUUCUCCCUUCUGGAGUGGUUAUUACUGUGAAAUGAAACAAACCCUUUGUUAAAUAAUCAUGUAUUUAUCAAAUAUAUUCGUAUUAUAUGUGUUAAUCAGACUACUAUUAAGGUAGAAAUCCUAACUAUUACUUUGUUAAUACUUACCUCCAACAUCUCCUGAAGGAAUAUUGUUAGCCAUUACGCUUGCAAGCCGUUCACAUUGCCUAUCUAAAGUUGCCACCCAUCGCUUUGCCCCAAACGCCAGACCAGAGUUCACCAGUAACUUAUAGAUAUUGUGAACAGCUCUAUCAUCAAAUUCAACAUGUUCAACCCAUGUUACCUACAAAACCGAAAAACAUGCAUGAUUGAAUACAAUUUUCUGAUUUAAGAAAUCUUACGAAGGUGUAAAUCUCUUUCAGGUUUUCUACCUUGGAAUAUCCAUUGGGUUGUUCUUGAAUUAAACAACCAGAGGGCCUUCUUCUAGAUCUUGAAACUGAAGAAGGGCGCAAAUUGUCCAAAGACACAUCAACUACAGCCCAAGUACCAUCAGCAUGUUGUUUACAAUACCUAACAAAGUAGUUUUCUCGGGUUGGAACCAGUGGUGAAGGAACUUGAAACUCAGCUGACAUCUGAUAUAUUAUAUAUCGAUAUGUUAAACUUAUACAUGAUCAUACAAAACUAGAUUUAUAGUUAUGGUGUACAACUCCUAGCUUACCACUUGAAGAGCACCAUUGUAAUUGCCAGCAACACCGGUUGAAAGAACUUCCAAGGUCAUUGCUCUUGAAACAAUGCCAGAAAACACAUUUGACCAUUGAUUCUGAAAAGCCAUUGUGGGGUUCAAGUAAUCAGAUCAUAAUCAAUACAGCAAAUCAAUAGAUCCUACAAAUUACUUUUUA